GCUGCCUCUAAGUUCCCAGAAAACAACUUAGGCAGCUGUUAGCAUCAUGAUCCACAUGGCAGAGGUGCUAUUUUAGCAAAGCUAAUGAACUUUCCAACUGAGGGAACUUUUCUGGGAAAGAGAGCAGCUCAAGGUGCUUGUGGCAAGAUAUUAGCAUAUACUGCCCCAGGCAAAGACAUCUCUGGGAUGCUCCAUCUGUUUUGGCAAGUUCUCUUAUGACCCCCACCCCCUCUCCUCAUCACGGGGGAGCCUUCUUUCAGGGCCUGACCACCAGGCUGUGAGAAGCCCAAUCCACAUGGACAGGCCACGUGGGGGUGCUCUGGCCAGUCGUCAGCCAUCUCAGCCCAGGUCCCGGUCAUGGGAGUGCACAAACCACCUUGGAAGCUCCAGGUAUCGUGGUGGACAGAAG
rnacentral:lncRNA from 1 species